UACGUAGGGCGCAAGCGUUGCUCGGAAUUACUGGGCGUAAAGGGCGCGUAGGCGGAUAGUUUAGUCAGAGGUGAAAGCCCGGGGCUCAACCUCGGAAUUGCCUUCAAUACUGGCGAUCUUGAGUAUGGGAGAGGUGUGUGGAACUCCGAGUGUAGAGGUGAAAUUCGUAGAUAUUCGGAAGAACACCAGUGGCGAAGGCGACACACUGGCCCAUUACUGACGCUGAGGCUCGAAAGCGUGGGGAGCAAACAGG
rnacentral:rRNA from 1 species